UUGUGGUGAUUAAACGACGCAUUAACUUUGUUCUUACCAAGAUGUUGUGCUUAGGGUAAGGAGCCUUCUCCUUGGGGAGGGUUCCUUUCCCUGUGGAUGCGGCGUUUUGGUUAGGACUAAGUUGUGUGGUGGCUUUCGGAGGGGCUUGCGGCCUAUCAGGUAGUUGGUGGGGUAAAAGCCUACCAAGCCUACGACGGGUAGCUGGUCUGAGAGGACGGUCAGCCGGACUGGGACUGAGACACGGCCCAG
rnacentral:rRNA from 1 species